UACGGGGGGGGCAAGCGUUGUUCGGAAUUACUGGGCGUAAAGGGCUCGUAGGCGGCCAACUAAGUCAGACGUGAAAUCCCCGGGCUCAACCCGGGAACUGCGUCCGAGACUGGCAGGCUCGAAUCCGGGAGAGGGAUGUGGAAUUCCAGGUGUAGCGGUGAAAUGCGUAGAUAUCUGGAGGAACACCGGUGGCGAAGGCGGCAUCCUGGACCGGUAUUGACGCUGAGGCGCGAAAGCCAGGGGAGCAAACGGG
rnacentral:rRNA from 1 species